GCACAAGCGGUGGAUGAUGUGGUUUAAUUCGAUGCAACGCGAAAACCUUACCCACCUUUGACAUGGCAGGAAUCCUAAAGAGAUUUGGGAGUGCUCGAAAGAGAACCUGCACACAGGUGCUGCAUGGCUGUCGUCAGCUCGUGUCGUGAGAUGUUGGGUUAAGUCCCGCAACGAGCGCAACCCUUGCCAUUAGUUGCUACAUUCAGUUGGGCACUCUAAUGAGACUGCCGGUGACAAACCGGAGGAAGGUGGGGAUGACGUCAAGUCCUCAUGGCCCUUAUAGGUGGGGCUACACACGUCAUACAAUGGCUGGUACAAAGGGUUGCCAACCCGCGAGGGGGAGCCAAUCCCAUAAAGCCAGUCGUAGUCCGGAUCGCAGUCUGCAACUCGACUGCGUGAAGUCGGAAUCGCUAGUAAUCGUGGAUCAGCAUGUCACGGUGAAUACGUUCCCGGGUCUU
rnacentral:rRNA from 1 species